CCAGAAAAUAAACUCCAAAGUUCUGCAAACUUAACUGCAUCAGCUGGAGUUGACGGUAACUGAUUCUCUGGCUACCUGGGAAAUUCAAGGUGUUGGCACUUCAGAUAAAGGGAGUGCAGGAGAGAUGCGCACAGAGGGAAGAGCACUGGCCAGAAGCAGACUAAAUGACCCUUCCUACUGCGGUGCGUUGAUGGCAGACCUACAACUGGGACUUUGGUCGUUUGACUUCUAGGCCUAUGUUUUUUUUUUUUUACUUUAGAAAAAAUUGAUUCCAUAUGCUUCAGAUCAAUAAAAUUGGUCUUGAAUAAAUUGUCCUAAUAAAUAAUAAUAAUAAAAUAAUAUAAUAAUAAUAAAAUG